UCGGCUCUAUAUAAACUUUUUCCAUAUUUAAAACACAUACACAGCUCAGUCUAUGCUUCAUUGCUUGUUACCCAUGGUUCUCAUCCAUCCAAGAAAGGCUACCCAUGGUCCUGGACCAACUAUCAUGCCCAACUGUCCAUGGUCCGACCAAUCAAGCAUCAGCCUGUCGGUUUUAGCUGUUGACCAAGUCUCACUGUCAUCUACACCACUUGCUCAAGGUCAUGUAUCAAGGGUCUUUAGUCGCCAUCCCCACAUGUGCAGUAUG
rnacentral:lncRNA from 1 species